rnacentral:ncRNA from 1 species
GAUUAUGACAAAGUGCCAGUGGCGGAGAGGACAGGCAGAUCGUAAAGACGCCGUCAAUCCCUCCCUAGAGGCUCGAACCGCGCCAUCCCUGGCGCGGACGCUUU